CCUAAAAAGGGUGAUGUCCACUGGGAACAAAAAUGAUGUUACCAUACGGAUGUGUCUGAUUUAAAGGGAUAAAAGGAUAAAUAUAUCUUAUUUUUAAUUGUAUUGUCAUUUGUACAUAGCUCUAACAUAGCAUUGUUUUUGUAUCAUCAGGAUUCUAGAACCUAAGAUUAGUUAGAUUAGGACUCUACAUCUUGUAUAUAAAUAAAAUAGCAUGUUCAUGUGAUGAAUAGGAUCAUCCUAUUCGCAUCUGUUCAUGUAUUAGAACAUAUUAUGUAAAAAAAAUUUAAAAUUUUUCCGUUAACCCACUGGUCUACUGUUAAAAAAAAAGUUCCACUCUGCGUCUGCACCUUCGGCGUCUCCCAACAGUGCACCUACGGCAGCUCUCAACAGUUCUAUCUCUCAAACUCUCUCUCUUCAGACCAAUAAUAGUGCGUGUGCCCUUCUGGUCAAAACCUCUUCUAUCUCUCUUCAGGCGCAAUUUUUCUCCUCUGCCAGGCAAACUAGAAUUGCAAUUUUCCUCUCUCCUCAGGCGAAAUUUCUCUCUUACAUCACGAUCGUUAAUUUCUCUUCAGUUGCUGUCUCUUCCCUCGAUCACAAUUUUUUCUUCUCCUCUACCAGACUGUCAGUUUAUCUCUACUGUCUCUGCCAUUUUUAAUCAAGCACAGGACUCCGUUCUCUCUCCUACAGAAACAUUGAUAGAGAAAAGCCUCUGUUAUUUGUGUCUCUGUCCUCUCACUGCAGAACUACUGCCUUGGCUCUCUCUUUUUUUGAAAUAUCAGAUAAGAAAUGUUACUGCCUUGGCUCUCUCUUAUUUUGUGAUUCUUUCUCCUGCAGCACCAACAGCCUCAAACUCUCUCAAUAAGUGAUUCUCUCUCCUGCGAAGUAGCCCUUUCUGCCACUCUACCUAAAAGAAGGUCUGCUGAUUUUUAUAUUUAUUGUUAUAUAUACUUUGAUCCACACCACUUCCACUAUUUAUAUGACAAUAAAUAAUUUUUGUUAUUUGCCUUUUGAUCAAUCUCCUCAAAAAAAAAAAAAAAAAAAACUUUUGAUCAAACAACAUGUCUCUCUUCUCCUUCCACUUAGGUGACUCUUGCCCCUCC
rnacentral:lncRNA from 1 species